UCCUACGGGAGGCAGCAGUGGGGAAUAUUGGGCAAUGGGCGAAAGCCUGACCCAGCAACGCCGCGUGAGGGAAGAAGGGUUUCGGCUCGUAAACCUCUGUCCUAUGGGACGAAGAAAGUGACGGUACCAUAGGAGGAAGCCCCGGCUAACUACGUGCCAGCAGCCGCGGUAAUA
rnacentral:rRNA from 1 species